rnacentral:lncRNA from 1 species
AUGAAUGGAUCUGGUAACUCAAACAUUCAGGUGUCCUGGAAUUCUUUGGGAAGGUGCAGACAGAGCGAGGUCAUGGAAGUCAUAAGUAUUUGGAAUGAAAUGGGGAACGAUGCUAGUGGAGCAGUUGCCACUUAUAACAGCUGGAAGGUGUGCACUGAAUCUGUCAGCAAGAUUUCUGUCUGGGUUGAGUUGGAUAAACAGCAGGGCAAGAUCAAACUUAACUUAUUUUUCACUCUGGGUCUUCAUCGGUCCCUGGAGAAAGUGACACUCACAUUAUUUUUUAUUAUGACUUUUUUUUUCAGUGUAAGUCUUAAUAUUGUGGCUUUCAGGCAUUAUAUUGGAUUAGCACCCUUUCAUGCCUAUGGCUUUCCCUGAGCUGCUUACAGUUAUCACUGCAUCAAUUAUAGUUUAUUAAUUUCAGAAUUUUUGCUCCCAUCUCUUGGGGGAUUUCAAUUGUUUGUGGCAUGGCUCAGAUUAUUUUAGCUGAUGUCCUCAUUCAGUGGAGCACUGUGGUGGCCAAGUCCUUCCUCUCUCACUCCCCAUACCCUGCCCAGGACAGGCUCUUCUGAAGGAUCUUUUUAAUAACAAAGAGCCUAAAACCGAUGACUCCCAAAAUAUAACAGUGACAAAACAUGUCCUUCCCAACCUCUAAACAGUUAGAGAAUUAUUUAAGUACAUCAAAUAGGGAGGAACAAAAUAACAUCAAAAGCCACAACAUGAAGGCAAGAUUUAGGUAGAGAUAUUUUUUCAUAAUUUAAUGCAGAAAUUCAGUAUGCAUCAUGGAGCAUCGAGAAGGAAGAAAUGUUGUGUAUCCUGUUUCCCAAAUUUAU